rnacentral:rRNA from 1 species
UGAGUUUGAUCCUGGCUCAGGAUGAACGCUGGCGACAGGCUUAACACAUGCAAGUCGAGGGGCAGCGGGAGGAAAGCUUGCUUUCCUUGCCGGCGACCGGCGCACGGGUGAGUAACACGUAUGCAACUUGCCCAUGACAGGGGGAUAAGCGGGAGAAAUUCCGUCUAAUACCACAUAACACCCCCGGGAGGCAUCUUCCGGGAGUCAAAGGAGCGAUCCGGUCAUGGAUGGGCAUGCGGCGCAUUAGCUUGUUGGCGGGGUAACGGCCCACCAAGGCGACGAUGCGUAGGGGUUCUGAGAGGAAGGUCCCCCACACUGGUACUGAGACACGGACCAGACUCCUACGGGAGGCAGCAGUGAGGAAUAUUGGUCAAUGGGCGCGAGCCUGAGCCAGCCAAGUCGCGUGAGGGAAGACGGUCCUACGGAUUGUAAACCUCUUUUGUCGGGGAGCAAUAAGGCGUACGUGUACGCAGAUGCGAGUACCCGAAGAAAAAGCAUCGGCUAACUCCGUGCCAGCAGCCGCGGUAAUACGGAGGAUGCGAGCGUUAUCCGGAUUUAUUGGGUUUAAAGGGUGCGCAGGCGGAAAGUGCAAGUCAGCGGUCAAACGACGGGGCUCAACCCCGUCUCGCCGUUGAAACUGUCUUUCUAGAGUGAGCGAGAAGUAUGCGGAAUGCGUGGUGUAGCGGUGAAAUGCAUAGAUAUCACGCAGAACUCCGAUUACGAAGGCAGCAUACCGGCGCUCAACUGACGCUCAUGCACGAAAGCGUGGGUAUCGAACAGGAUUAGAUACCCUGGUAGUCCACGCAGUAAACGAUGAAUACUAAUUGUCCGGGCAGAAUGAUGCCUGGGUGAUACAGCGAAAGCGUUAAGUAUUCCACCUGGGGAGUACGCCGGCAACGGUGAAACUCAAAGGAAUUGACGGGGGCCCGCACAAGCGGAGGAACAUGUGGUUUAAUUCGAUGAUACGCGAGGAACCUUACCCGGGCUCAAACGACACAGGAAUACUUUUGAAAGGAGGUAGCCAGCAAUGGUCUGUGUCGAGGUGCUGCAUGGUUGUCGUCAGCUCGUGCCGUGAGGUGUCGGCUUAAGUGCCACAACGAGCGCAACCC